rnacentral:lncRNA from 1 species
GUUGAGCUUAAAGGGUUAUGCGUAUGCUGAAAGUUUCAGUUAGUCUUGAAAUGUAACACUUUUUUUCUCUGUUUUAGGUGUUCAUGGAGAUCUAAUUAACGUUACAGGAUUAUGGGCAAGAAUCUCAAGCAUGAAAUCAUUGACCAGAGAAAGUUGGGCAGCUGUUGACAGCUUUCACAACAAAUCAAGACUAAAGAGCCGACUGAUACUAGGUCUCUGAUGCUCAGAGGACUCCCUAUCAUUCAUUUGGCGACAAACCUACAGAUUUCUACAAAGUAUGCUUUGUUGUGGGAUCCAAGAUAAGUACACGCCGGUACCAUUUUGAUGAUGACAUGUGUAAACACGCUCAGGACUGUUUGCCGGGGCUGUGGAUUAAAGGUAAUAAUGCUGUAAAUAAUGUUCAGUUUCUUGCACAGACUGAUUGUUUUGCUUCAUAAGACCUCAAUAUAUCGUCAG